rnacentral:lncRNA from 1 species
CGAGCAGCACGCGGGGAGGGGAGAGACCUCCCCAAAACCCGGGGGUGUGCUAAGGCGGGGGGUCUUUGGGAUCCCCCCCUGCAGCACCGCGUCCUGCCCUGGCGGGGGGGACCCCAAAACCCUUCUCCCCCUGCCCUGACCCCGCUGAACCCCGGCUGGGAGCUGGGCACGGGGCGACGCCGGUGGCGGGGGGCUCGGCCAGGCGUGGCGGGGGGGGCACGGGGCCAGCAGCAAGCUGGGGCUUGCUGAUGAGCUUUCGGCUGUAAUUAGCGGCGGGGCAGGACCCGCCCAAAGCUCCUCGCUUGGCGUUUUCACACGCACACCCCUCGCACCCUUCCCGGCCCUGGGGGUGUUUCUCCUCUCCCCAAAUCCCUACGGACGGGUCCAGCCCCAGGGCCUGGGGGGGGCUCAGAGGGUGCCCUGCGUUCGUGGGGCCCCCCAGGCCAGCACGGGACAGACGGACACGGGGACGUCCCGUGGGCUCCUGCCUCCGUCCCUGGAGGCUCUGAACCGGGGGGCUGGGGACGGCCCCGUCCCCCGGUACCUGCUCUCUGUCCCCUCCCAGCCACCUCUCGUUUUGCUUCCCGGUCCAUUUUGCCUGGUUUCUCCCCAAAAUGUGCCAUUUCUGCCAGCUGGAGGGGAAAGCCCCCUGCACCCUGCUGGUGCCUGGAGCAGCUUUGCCAUUUCCCUGGAGCUUGGAGGCUCCAACCCCCUUUUCCCUCAUCCCUUUUCACUGAAAACCAGCGUCCUGGCCCCAAACAGCGCUGUGGGGUGGGGAAACGCUCCGUGCCCCCAGUCCUCGAAGCAAAGCCGUGUAAAUGUGCACCCCCUUUGUGCCCUCCACCCCCUUUUCAGCACAGCCCCUCGCAGCUCCAAAUUGGCCCAAAUUCGGGUGCCCCUGUGGGCAGCCCUGAGUGCUCCUGUUCCUUUUGGGGUGCUCGGAGAGGGGGCAGCGGUGCCUGGGUGGGGGGGUUCUGAGUGCUCUGGGGCCGUGCGGCUCUGAGCUUGGCACCCAGUUCUCACUGCCUGGCAGCCGGGGCUCAGGUUUUGCACCAUUUCUGAGGGAC